rnacentral:rRNA from 2 species
ACUUGACCUCAAAUCAGGCGGGACUACCCGC